CAGUCGUACCUUCGGGUAAUCAGCCUUUCGGGUGCGAUUCUGUGGAGUUUGAGGAGCUUAACACCUUCAUGCUUUUGCAUAUUCGUGCUCUUGGGUGUACUUGCCCGUGUGGUUGGUUAACAUCAAUUUCGGGCACCAUAAAAUGGCUGGAGGAAUGUAGCUUCGAUCUUGUAUUGAAGUGUUAUAGCCUUCGGUAAUGUGGUGAUCGAGAUUGAGGAUUGCAACGGAUACCUUUCGGGGCUACCUGUCUGAUCUCUGAUCGUUGCUUUGGUGUCUGAAAGCGUGCUUAUAGUUAUUAAGGUCG
rnacentral:rRNA from 1 species